CCUGCCCAGCGAUGCAGGGGGUGAGCCUUCUGGGAAGGACGGAUUCUUCCAUGACCAUCAGAAGUGCAUCUCACGGUGGGGUCAACCUUGAUUGACUGAAGUCGCUCAGUCGUGUCUGACUCUUUGCUACCCCAUGGACUGUAGCCCACCAGGCUCCUCUGUCCAUGGGAUUUUCCAGGCAAUAGUACUGGAGUGGGUUGCCAUUUAGUUCCAGACAAAGUUGGGAAGGUUGCCUCCCGUGCUCCCGUCCCUUGGGCAUCAGUAACUGAAUAGCCAGCUGCUAGAAUUCUCAAUCUUCCUCCUGAAAGCUGCCCCUUCCCAUUCUUAAUUGUCUUAGUCAAUGGCAGCCCAUUCCCCCACCUGCUCUGGCCAAUACCCUGGAGACAUCGAUGCCUCAAUUUUUCCCACCAACCUCCAAUUCUAUCCAUCAGCAUGUCCUACUGACACUAUCCCAGACCCGCUGGCCACGCUCCAUCUCUGUUGCCAUGGUAACACCCUAGCCCAGGCCACCAUCCUCUCUCCCAAGCCACCUAACUGGACCUCCUGCUGUACUUAGUAAACCAGAAAGGAGAGCAUGUCACUUGCCUGUUUAAAACUUUCAAGUGAUUUUACAUCAGUCCGGGUCUAAGCAAACAGACCCAACUUCAGGUAUGAAUAACCAGGGGAUUUAAGGUAGGGAGUUGACUGCACAGAGGUGAGGCAACCUGGAGGCAAUGCAGCUAACAUCACUGGAAUCCACGCGGCUCUACACCAGAGGGACGAGGCCGGGGCAGGGGGACGCUGCGGUCAGUGCAAACUCCCUGCUGUGGCCACAUCAGCCUGGGGACAUGGAGCAGUGCCCGGCGCACUGGCACUCGGCUGCGGCUCCCGGCUCGCCUGCUGACCACGGCGGACUUCAGCCUGGAUGCCCAACACCGGAGCUCGGUGCUCGUUGUGCUGACUCACCUCCUGUUUCUGUGGAAUUUCACUGGAGGGAGACGCGCUGCUGAGUCUACCAGGAAGAUGGGCCGCGCCACAGCCGCGUAGACGUGAGGCGAGAAGCCACCGGUGGGCCAUGCCGCCCUGACCACGGCCACUUCCGGACAGCCAGGCGUGCGCGGUAGUGUCUGCUGUGCUGGAGCUGCCAGGCCAGGGCGACACAGAAUGUGAAAGCCACCGCAGCUCUGCUCUGGCUCGGGGAGCGGCUGGCUCCGUGCAAGCGGGGCAGGUUCUGCCCUCCUCCUGGCGGGGUCCGUGCCUGGCUGCCCCCUCCUGGGGUAACAGGCUUGGAGGAAAGGCAGCCUGAGCUCGUGCCUGCUAUUUUGCCUUCGCUGGCGCUGGGCACGUCCCCUCAUCUCUAUCUGUGAGGAUGACAGACAGCAACCCAGGCUUUCCAGGACCCAGGGCAUUGGGAAAGCAAGGUCCAGCACACCCCCUCGCCUGUCCUCACCUCCGGGGUCCCCGGGGCCUGUCCCCUUGCAGGGGUUUUCUCUCUGGUUGAAGUGUUGGAAGAUUUUAAUGUACUUCAGUUUAAAAU
rnacentral:lncRNA from 1 species